rnacentral:rRNA from 1 species
CCUACGGCAGGCAGCAGUGGGGAAUUUUGGACAAUGGGCGCAAGCCUGAUCCAGCCAUUCCGCGUGAGUGAAGAAGGCCUUCGGGUUGUAAAGCUCUUUCGCAAGAGAAGAAAACUUACUUUCCAAUAAAGAGUGAGGUUGACGGUAUCUUGAUAAGAAGCACCGGCUAACUACGUGCCAGCAGCCGCGGUAAUACGUAGGGUGCGAGCGUUAAUCGGAAUUACUGGGCGUAAAGCGUGCGCAGGCUGUUUUGUAAGUCAGAUGUGAAAUCCCCGAGCUCAACUUGGGAACUGCGUUUGAAACUACAAGACUAGAAUAUGUCAGAGGGGGGUAGAAUUCCACGUGUAGCAGUGAAAUGCGUAGAGAUGUGGAGGAAUACCAAUGGCGAAGGCAGCCCCCUGGGAUAAUAUUGACGCUCAUGCACGAACGACGGUGGGAGGACGAACGAGGAGUUAGUAUACCCGUACGGUACGUACCGACCGCCACUAAACGAAUAGUCUACUAGUUGUUGGUUGGUAGUAAAUACCUA